rnacentral:rRNA from 1 species
UCYGUUUGAUCCCGCCAGAAGCUACUGCUAUUGGGAUUCGAUUAAGCCAUGCAAGUCGAACGAAUUUAGAUUCGUGGCGUACGGCUCAGUAACACGUGGAUAACCUACCCUUAGGACYGGGAUAACCCUGGGAAACUGGGGCUAAUACUGGAUAGAUGAUUUUUCCUGGAAUGGUUUUUUGUUUAAAUGUUUUUUCGCCUAAGGAUGGGUCUGCGGCAGAUUAGGUAGUUGGUUAGGUAAUGGCUUACCAAGCCUAUGAUCGUAC